UUUGUCAUUCAUUCAAUCUUAUCAUCUACUCGUAUUAUCUCUCUCCUCUCAAAUACCCAACUCUGAAUUUCUCAGAUCUACGUGAUUUAGAUCUGAAUCAUGAAUUUCUGUCAAUUGAUUCGAACAUAUUGUUCGACGAUCUACGUUUUGAGUAUGAUUUCUUCGUGUUUGGUCAAUGAGAUGAGCUCUCAAAUCCAAUUAACUCUGCUAUGGCGGUGAUGAUGCUGGAUUUGUUGUGCUCUUCUAUUUCUGUAGGUGAAAUACUCUAGAUCGUAUGCAAUCAGAAGCAGAUUAUUCAUUGGAGAUGAAUUGAUGAUCCUGAAUUAUGAAUUUACAAGGUUAAGCUCAACGUUAAAAAAGCCGUGCUGAUGGUGAUUUCACACACGGUCGAGUUUCUUUGAAGCUAAAGCGAAAGCGUAAAUUGCAAGUGGAUAUUCGUCUACUCGAUGCUCUGCUGUAAUGGUGGUUUGUAUGUAUUGCCAGUAUGAUGGUAUUGGUUUAAUGAUGUUGAUUAGAUUUGGAUCUGGUAGGAUUCAUUUCUGUGUGCGUGGUGAGGAUAAAAAAAAACUGUGAGUGAAAAUAUCCGACCUUUGCCAUGUCGGGUGCGCUCGCUUGGCAGGUCAACCAUCUUAAUAAAAAAAGAAACGUUUUUGUGGUUUGUUGGGGAAGAUGGCACGGUGUUUUGGCCGGCUCUUCCCCACCGUGUGCUUGCGUCUGUCUCUUUUCUCUCUCUUUCCUAUUCUAUCUCCGUCUUUGCUUCCCUCGUUCACAAUCGUAGUUAUUCGUCAAUUGACAGCCCCGAACAUAUCAGUCUAUCAUCCUGUGGAGCGCUCGGUUUGCAGGUAUAUUCUCUCAGCUAAUUCCCCACUUGAAUAUUACAUUAACUAUCAAUUUGUCUUCAUUUAUCAUUAAUUUAACAUGGUGGAGGGUUAAAAUUGAAAUAAUUUUAUCGUGUUUGUUGUUUAAAUCACCGGAUGAUAACCUCUGUCAGUCUAGAAGGUAAACAUAAGCUAGUUUCAGGAUAUCCUUGCCGGGUUUGUUACUCGUACCUUGGCGUAUAUUGAUUUAACACUUUCAUAUUACUUGGUCGUUGAUGGUCAAAUUACACUAACCAUUAAUAUUUCUAUUAUGGCAGUUAGCAUCAAUUUAAUCGGGAAUUAGAAUCAUUACUAAAUGUAUGAUUUUUCAAAUGAAAACAAAUGAGUUUUAUGGUCCAAUCUACUAAAUUACUAUUACCAACUAUCUACGCCAAUAGUACCUGUCGAACAUGAUCAACCUUGGUAACAUAAAAGUAUUAUUCACCAAACCAUUUAGAUAUUUUUGUACGAUCUUGACUGCUCUAGUCAACCAACUUAUUUUCACUAUUUGUGUUCUGGUCUCCAUUACGUUUGUUUUGUUCUCUUUUCAUUUUGCAAUUUUUAUAAAUAUAAUUAUAAUUAUAUAUUUAUUAUACAUUUAUGGCAUUUGCAAAUAUUAAAGUCAGAUUUCGAUUAACUUUCAACAAUAUCCCGUGGUGACGUUGAUGUUGUUGUCAAUGAUCUGCCUAGAGGAUAUCAGUUGUAAAGUAAUUGUGUAUAGGUUGUGGUAGGUGUUAGUAGGUAUUAUAUGUACUGUAUGUAUUGUGGUUGCAAGCUUUUGUACAUGAGUAUUGGGCAGUUGGUUCGACAAUAGACCAUUCUUAUUAAUGCGGAGGACAAGCAAGUGGAUGAUGUUACUGGACUGCUGGUUUACCAUUCUUAUUCUUGAUGAGGACAAGCAAGCGGAUUAGGGAGCUGAAGACCCGAAGAUCUGAAGUUGAAACCUUGGAUUCACAAGGUAUUGAUUUUGGUAGCUGCAUGGGGUUCCUUCGUUUAAUCAAACAAUUUUGGCAUCGUAUCUUUUGAGAUAUGCCCCCUUUUUUUGGUUGAUUUGUUCCUUUUCUAGUUCAUACAUCAGAUGUCAUUAUGUUCAAUUGGAGAAACACCUUAAAGUUUCUGUACCUGUGAUCCUGCUUGCUCGAGUGUAUCGGGAUGUUCUGUUCAAGUGGUUGUUGCUGUCGUCUAAAUCAGAAAUCAAGUCCAGGCAUAUCUUUUAUAUUGGCGUUUUAAAGAUAAUCGGCUUGAGGUUUUUCUGAUUAUGAAUUGAAGCAAAUUUUCAUAGAUCGUCAAGUGGAUAAGUUAUCUUCUCUGUGAGAUUUCGUUUAACAUAAAGUACUUCUGCACAAUUAUUUUAGUUCUGUAAAUUUAUUGCAUAGUUGUUAAUGGCCAUAUACCCAAAAUUGUUACAGAGGCCUGUUAAAGAUUGAUAUGAGUUUAAUCUUCAUGUCAAAUUAGUACCAGUUCUUUAUUCAUUUUUUUUUUCCUACAAUUAGUUGCCAUAUUAUUUGUGUUUCA